UUUUAUUUUGAAAAGACGAGGAUAUCCUGUCGACAUGUGCUUAGAUUUCCGUGCUUCAAUUCAGUUCGCUAUGUAUAGGAUUUCAGAAAAACAAUUCUGUGUCCGUUAAAUCGACGUUUUACCACCGCGUUAUCCGUUCGUCAUCUAUGAACACGACAUCGCGGGGUGUAAGCGCUCCCGGUUAGGAAUGCACGGUUCUAUCUCAGCACCAUUUUCCCGGUUGCUAACUGCUCUCAGUGAAACGGAUAUGAUGGUGAAAUGGCUCCCUCCGGUUUAAAUAUUGAGCAACAAGCCUUUGACGGUAUUAAUACAUCGGCCGCAAUUGAUCCAGACAGCGCAGCCGAUGUCUUGGACCAGUGUGAAACACCAAGAUAGACUCUAUCUGCUCUGGAUCACCUCUAGACCUCUUGACAGCCAGGACACAUCCAAUCGAGUUACCAGCAGCUUAAACAAGCCAUCAUAAAGGAAUUCUCAGACUCAGAGUCUGUACAUGGACUGAUCACUGCCCUAGCCAUCGAACAGGGCCGUCAUGAAACUCCCCGUGAUUACUACCACAGACUUCGACGAUAGGCCCCACAAUCCCUAUUCAACAACUGCGUGACCUGACACAGAAGGCCUUUAACAAGCACAAGGCCUCCACUAAAGGUGUUUGUAAGACCCUGCUGAUUCUGAACUGCAUUACCAAGAAUCCAAAGCGGGCACCAGAAGGCACCCAGCAUUGCCACAGUGCAAAACCCUUCUACAGAAAGCCCCUAGCCAGCAGAGGACAGAGCCGUCACCAUGGCAACAGACCCAAGUCCCAGACCACCCACGGGCAGAAACCAUGGAAAAGGCCAUCCUCAUCUUGCGAACACCACAGUAUGUCCAACAACAGUCCCCCACAACAUCCUCCUCCACACCCUUCACACAGGUGCCAAAAUGUUGCUGCACAAGGACAGCUGGACACACCUUCUUCUGAGUUACAGGAGCUGCUGACACUAGCAAAAGAUUUCCUUGAACAAAACUCAACUGAGGAGUACUCGGAAAGACAAACUUCUGACUCCUUGCCUGACGCAACUCAGCAUCAGACCCCCCCAAGGAAGGAGCAUCCCUUAAAACUGGUCAACAC
ensembl:lncRNA